UAUUGAAGUGAGGAGCAUUACAAACAUUUUCCCAAGAGCUCCCCUACCUGACUGUGAGCCCCUGGAGGGCAGGGUGGAGUAUCACUCAUCUCCAGGGCUGGCCACUAGAAAAUAUCAAUAAUGGAGAGAGAGGGAGAGGAGAGAGCAAGACGGAUAGAAGGUGAUGGGCCUGAGGCUUCCAGAUGGUGAGGUGUUUGUCCAAAGUCACACAGCUAGGAAGUGACAGAGUGCGGACUCAGGGCGGAUCUGGACUUCUGUCUCUUGCCCGUGGAUGAGACCAG